rnacentral:rRNA from 1 species
UCCGUAGGUGAACCUGCGGAAGGAUCAUUGUCGAGACCUCACAAACAGCACGACCCGCGAAUCUGUUUAUGAUAUUGGGUGGCGGAGGGCACAUUCUGCCCCGAGCCCCCCAUGUCUGGAUGGGACACAGCAGGCCUUGCCUGUGCGUGCUCGUCCCGGCAAACAACGAAACCCCGGCGCCAGUCGCGCCAAGGAACUCUAACAUAACAGCGUGCCCCCCUGUCGGCCCGGGAACGGUGCCCUACAGGGUGCGUCGCGACAUUUGUAUCCAAAACGACUCUCGGCAACGGAUAUCUCGGCUCUCGCAUCGAUGAAGAACGUAGCGAAAUGCGAUACUUGGUGUGAAUUGCAGAAUCCCGUGAACCAUCGAGUCUUUGAACGCAAGUUGCGCCCGAAGCCAUUAGGCCGAGGGCACGUCUGCCUGGGUGUCAAACAUCGUUGCCCAAACACAAUGUCCUUCUCCGGGCAUCAUGUGAAGGGCGGAUGCUGGCCUCCCGUGAGCACGCCUCGCGGUUGGCCCAAAUGCGAGUCCACGGUGGCGAGCACCACGACGCACGGUGGUUGAGUAACGCUCGAAGCCAGUCCUGCGUGUCUCGUCACAAUACACGGCUCCUUGACCCUCUUGCAUCCCACGGAUGCUUCCAACGCGACCCCAGGUCAGGCGGGGCUACCCGCUGAAUUUAAGCAUAUCAAUAAGCGGAGGA